AGUGCAAGCUGGGAAUGCAGUCAAGGCUUCAUCCACCCCAGGCAGCUUUCCUGAGCCUUGGGAGACUGGCUCUCAAUGAAUCCAAGCUGCUUUUAUCCUUUGCUGCCUAUCUCAUUGAAGAAAAGAAACAAACAUACUGCUAAUAAAAAGAAUGUCUCCUUGUGGCUACUGAAACCCACAUGUCAACUGCUAUAGCUGUCAGCCUACCAGGAAUAACCCCUGCUUCAAACCCCAAGAAGCCCAUUUACUAUUUUAAUGACAAGAACUUGCUAAUGUGGGCAUAUGAACUGUAUCCUUGGAAAGGAAUGCCGUCCAUACCAGGAAGUCCUUGAGAAGGCUUGAGUUCUUGCCAUAACUAAAAAUCCGAUGAUGCAUUACCAAUGACUUCAUCCCCAAAUGAAAGCUAGCAGCCUGCUUCCGUAAUCCUCAUGGAGAGUUAUACCAAGAAAAGACAACUUUGGAAAAACAUGCAAGAGAGAGGCUUCAUUUUCUCUUUUGAAUAAAAGAAAGAAACCAGUCUAUGUGACUACGGAGGAGGCACCAUGCAGGCCCUGGUGUGGGGGCCUGUGUUUCUCCUACAAUGCUGACAGCUAGGGAUUUACCAGAGACUUAAAAAAUGAAAAAACUGCUAAUGGUAUAUAUAUAUAUUUUUUGGUGGGGCUUGUGAAUGAGAAAUAUGGAAACGAUUGGUCUCCCCCACAUUAGGCUUUUGCAUCCCAGCAGUUCUGACACUUCAGACUUCAUUGCACAGCCUAGUUUCCCUUUAGAAGAAGGGAACGGUCCCAUUCCAGUUGAUGGUGGCCUCGCUCCACUUGGUUCUGAUUGCCAUCUCCACUGGUGAAAACCGUCGUCUUGGUCCAUGUUUCUCUUCCUGUUGGUCUCUUUCCCAGUGAUGGGAGUGAGUAUCUGAAGAAGGAAUAGCCAGCAUUUAGACCCAAGCCUAUGAACACCAUUCCAGAGGAAACCACUAAAGAAGGACAGAAGGGUGGGUGGGCAGGAGUCAGGCUUGGAAAAUUGUGCUCCUACAACUGGUUAAGCAGAUGGGGAUUCAAGCAGGUAGUGUGUUGAAAUGCCCCAUACAGAAUGAGUCAGUGGUAGCCUGGGUUGUUGUGCAUAUUAGGACGUAGUAUGUGUGUUGAAACGCCCCAUACAGAAUGAGUCAGUGGUAACCUGGGUUGUUGUGCAUAACUGUUGAUAAGCUAUGUAAUACACCUUCCCGUACCAUGAUGUGACACCUAGAACCAGGUAUAGGUUACUAAAUAUUGUCAGGAAAAAAAAAAAAAGAGGCCAGGCAUGGUGGCUCACGCCUAUGGUCCCAGUACUUUGGGGGGCUGAGGCAGGUGGAUCAUCUGAGGUCGGGAGUUCGAGACCAGCCUGGCCAGCAUGGUGAAACCCUGUCUCUACUAAAAAUACAGAAAAUUAGCUGUGUGUGGUGGCGCGCGCCUGUAAUCCCAGCAGGAGGCUGAAGCACAAGAAUCACUUGAACCUGGGAGGUGGAAUUUGCAGUAAGCCAGGAUCACGCCACUGCACUCCAGCCUGGGCGACAGAGUGAGACUCCAUCUCCAACCAACCAACCAACCGACCCCACUUCUCCAUGCUUCUCAGAAUACAUUUGCAUUUUUGGAUGGAGGGCAAGGCUUUCUAGUGGGCCCUUGGUACCUGCCUCUUUGGAAGGCACCUCCGGUCACAUCAGGAGCAUGGAUGGGGCCCCACCUGCAUACACAUGGAGAUGGACUCAUCCUCCAGCUACUUUGGAUACCGUGGCUCCCAUUUUUCUACUUUCUCUGAAGGAUUGAAGCCACCUUGCCCAGAAGUCACUGGGAGUUAUGCCUCCUCCCUAAGGAUGGCCCACAGCCAGUGCCUCAUUGGAGCAAGAGGUACAGAAGCCCUGCUCCCUCAUCUGAAGAUGGGGCAGGCUCCGCAGUGCAAUCCAUGCACCCGAGCUCCCAUGGCAUCAGACUGACAUUGCUGGAAGCCACAGUCUUCCUCAGCUUCUCCUUCCCUGUCCUGCUUCCCUCACUCCCUUAUGGUUUUCUCCUGAGGGCACUCCCUUAAUAAAUCACUUGCGUCAAGAAUCCACAUCAUGGGCUCUGCUUCUAGGGAAACUGGCAGUUCACAAUCUUAGAAUAUAUUAUAUAUUUAGUUCCUCUUUGGGGGUAAUAACUUUACCUGCCUGAGGGCAGAAGUAUUUAUAUUUCCUCUAAUAUUUAGCACAGGGCUUUGCACAUGAUAGGGGUUUGUUAACUUCUAGGAAUAAAGUAAUUUGAAUAAACUUGAGCUGAUCUUUAAAAAUAGGCAAAAACCAAACAUCAUACCUUAUCAGCCUGGUUAAAUAGGAGGAUUGGCCGGGUGCAGUGGCUCACGCCUAUAAUCUCAGCACUUUGGGAGGCC
rnacentral:lncRNA from 10 species